rnacentral:misc_RNA from 1 species
GAUGAAGAACGCAGCGAAAUGCGAUACUUGGUGUGAAUUGCAGAAUCCCGUGAACCAUCGAGUCUUUGAACGCAAGUUGCGCCCGAAGCCACUAGGCCGAGGGCACGCCUGCCUGGGCGUCACACGUCGUUGCCCCCCCCCCAUCUACUCCUUCGGGAUUGCGGGGGGCGGAUGAUGGCCUCCCGUGCGCCUAGCCGCGCGGUUGGCAUAAAUACCAAGUCCUCGGCGACGCACGCCACGACAAUCGGUGGAUGCGAAACCUCGGUUGCCCGUCGUGUGCGUUCGUCGCGCAUCGAGGGCUCGAAAAAAUGCUCGGCUCCGGCUCGGCUUUCAACGCGACCCCAGGUCAGGCGGGGUUACCCGCUGAAUUUAAGCAUAUCAAUAAGCGGAGGA